rnacentral:lncRNA from 12 species
CCAGCGGCGUCAGGAGGUUUCAUUUCCCGACACCGGCAACACCCCCCGUGUGUGAAGAUUCCCCAGAUGGCCGCUCUGUAGGGAAAGGGGGCUGACAAAGAACAUUCUGCAGCUUAAACUGAUGGUGAGAACCAGGCUGUGCCGCUGCCGGUCGAGCAUCCUCCGCGCCGUGCUCCGCGCGGCAGCGAUUGCCGCUGGCGAGGGAGCGGUGUGCACCGUGAGCACACACAGGGACACAGGGACACACGGACACACGGACACACGGACACAGGGACACACAGACACAGGGACACAGGGACACACGGACACACGGACACACGGACACACGGACACAGGGACAGAGAGACACAGAGACACAGACAUACAGACACACAGACACACAGGGACACAGGGACACAGACACACAGACACACAGACACAGACACACAGACACACAGACACUCACUCACAGACACACAGACACAGACACACAGACACUCAGACACUCACAGACACAGGCACACAGACACACAGACACUCACAGACACAGGCACACAGACACUCACACAGACACACAGACACAGGCACACAGACACACAGACACUCACACAGCUCCCCCUGAAGCCCCGGCCCCUGCUGGUGUUUGACCAUCCCGCAUCGGAACGAGCCCCAGCGCGCCCCGCAGCGCUGCCG